UGCUUCUUGGGGAACUGCUUACAUUGCUCU
rnacentral:piRNA from 1 species